UUGGAGGGCAAGUCUGGUGCCAGCAGCCGCGGUAAUUCCAGCUCCAAUAGCGUAUAUUAAAGUUGUUGCAGUUAAAAAGCUCGUAGUUGAAUUUCGGGGUUCUACCGUUGGUCGGGCUAUUGUCUGUACUGGCGUGUAGAAUUUCUACCUUCUGGGGAACUAUCAUGUUAUUAAUUUAGCGUGGUAGGAAACCAGGACCUUUACCUUGAAAAAAUUAGAGUGUUCAAAGCAGGCUUAUGUCUGAAUACAUUAGCAUGGAAUAAUAAAAUAGGACGGUGGUCCUGUUUUGUUGGUUUCUGAAUCACCGUAAUGAUUAAUAGGGAUAGUUGGGGGCAUUAGUAUUCAAUUGUCAGAGGUGAAAUUCUUGGACUUAUUGAAGACUAACUACUGUGAAAGCAUUUGCCAAGGAUGUUUUCAUUAAUCAAGAACGAAAGUUAGGGGAUCGAAGACGAUCAGAUACCGUCGUAGUCUUAACCAUAAACUAUGCCGACUAGGGAUCGGACGAUGUUAACUUUUCUUGACUCGUUCGGCGCCUUACGGGAAA
rnacentral:rRNA from 1 species